GCCCGUGUAGCUCAGUCGGUAGAGCACUUGCAUGGUAAGCAAGAGGUCGCCGGUCCAAUUCCGGCCGCGGGCU
rnacentral:tRNA from 1 species